UGAGGAAGAUAAUGACGGUACUCAACAAGGAAGUGACGGCUAACUACGUGCCAGCAGCCGCGGUAAAACGUAGGUCACAAGCGUUGUCCGGAAUUACUGGGUGUAAAGGGAGCGCAGGCGGGAAGACAAGUUGGAAGUGAAAUCCAUGGGCUCAACCCAUGAACUGCUUUCAAAACUGUUUUUCUUGAGUAGUGCAGAGGUAGGCGGAAUUCCCGGUGUAGCGGUGGAAUGCGUAGAUAUCGGGAGGAACACCAGUGGCGAAGGCGGCCUACUGGGCACCAACUGACGCUGAGGCUCGAAAGUGUGGGUAGCAAACAGGAUUAGAUACCCUGGUAGUCCACACUGUAAACGAUGAUUACUAGGUGUUGGAGGAUUGACCCCUUCAGUGCCGCAGUUAACACAAUAAGUAAUCCACCUGGGGAGUACGACCGCAAGGUUGAAACUCAAAGGAAUUGACGGGGGCCCGCACAAGCAGUGGAGUAUGUGGUUUAAUUCGACGCAACGCGAAGAACCUUACCAAGUCUUGACAUCCCUUGACGAUGCUGGAAACAGUAUUUCUCUUCGGAGCAAGGAGACAGGUGGUGCAUGGUUGUCGUCAGCUCGUGUCGUGAGAUGUUGGGUUAAGUCCCGCAACGAGCGCAACCCUUAUGGUCAGUUACUACGCAAGAGGACUCUGGCCGGACUG
rnacentral:rRNA from 1 species